rnacentral:rRNA from 1 species
CCUACGGGAGGCAGCAGUGGGGAAUCUUGCGCGAUGGCCGAGAGGCUGACGCAGCGACGCCGCGUGGGGGAUGAAGCAUUUCGGUGUGUAAACCCCUGUUGCUCGGGACGAACGAUCCUUUUCGAGGGAUGUGACGGUACCGAGUGAGGAAGCACCGGCUAACUCCGUGCCAGCAGCCGCGGUAAUACGGAGGGUGCGAGCGUUGUCCGGAAUCACUGGGCGUAAAGGGCGCGUAGGUGGUUGGAUGCGCCGGUGGUGAAAGCGCAGGGCUCAACCCUGCGUCGGCCAUCGGGACGGUCCGACUGGAGCACUGUAGAGGCAGGUGGAAUUCCGGGUGUAGCGGUGGAAUGCGUAGAGAUCCGGAAGAACACCGGUGGCGAAGGCGGCCUGCUGGGCAGUUGCUGACACUGAGGCGCGACAGCGUGGGGAGCAAACAGGAUUAGAUACCCUGGUAAUCCACGCCGUAAACGAUGGGCACUAGGUGCUUGGGGGAGCGACCCCCUGAGUGCCGACGCUAACGCAUUAAGUGCCCCGCCUGGGGAGUACGACCGCAAGGUUGAAACUCAAAGGAAUUGACGG